rnacentral:rRNA from 1 species
GACGAACGCUGGCGGCGUACUUAACACAUGCAAGUCGAACGGAAAGACCCUGCUUUUGUGGGGUGCUCGAGUGGCGAACGGGUGAGUAACACGUGAGUAACCUGCCCUUGACUUUGGGAUAACUUCAGGAAACUGGGGCUAAUACCGGAUAGGAGCUCCUGCUGCAUGGUGGGGGUUGGAAAGUUUCGGCGGUGGGGGAUGGACUCGCGGCUUAUCAGCUUGUUGGUGGGGUAGUGGCUUACCAAGGCUUUGACGGGUAGCCGGCCUGAGAGGGUGACCGGCCACAUUGGGACGGAGAUACGGCCCAGACUCCUACGGGAGGAAGCAGUGGGGAAUAUUGCACAAUGGGCGGAAGCCUGAUGCAGCAACGCCGCGUGCGGGAUGACGGCCUUCGGGUUGUAAACCGCUUUCGCCUGUGACGAAGCGUGAGUGACGGUAAUGGGUAAAGAAGCACCGGCUAACUACGU